rnacentral:misc_RNA from 1 species
UACGAACUGCACAAACGUUAUUCGGAAUCACUGGGCUUAAAGAGUCCGUAGGCGGCCUAGAAGGUGAGGUGUGAAAUCCCACAGCCCAACUGUGGAACUGCGCUUCAAACCGCUAGGCUCGAGGGAGAUAGGGGUGAGCGGAACAGAUGGUGGAGCGGUGAAAUGCGUUGAUAUCAUCUGGAACACCGGUGGCGAAGGCGGCUCACUGGAUCUCUUCUGACGCUGAGGGACGAAAGCUAGGGGAGCGAACGGG